CAGGCUUAACACAUGCAAGUCGAGGGGCAGCAUUUUAGUUUGCUUGCAAACUGAAGAUGGCGACCGGCGCACGGGUGAGUAACACGUAUCCAACCUGCCGAUAACUCCGGAAUAGCCUUUCGAAAGAAAGAUUAAUACCGGAUAGCAUACGAAUAUCGCAUGAUAUUUUUAUUAAAGAAUUUCGGUUAUCGAUGGGGAUGCGUUCCAUUAGUUUGUUGGCGGGGUAACGGCCCACCAAGACUACGAUGGAUAGGGGUUCUGAGAGGAAGGUCCCCCACAUUGGAACUGAGACACGGUCCAAACUCCUACGGGAGGCAGCAGUGAGGAAUAUUGGUCAAUGGGCGAGAGCCUGAACCAGCCAAGUAGCGUGAAGGAUGAAGGCUCUAUGGGUCGUAAACUUCUUUUAUAUGGGAAUAAAGUUUUCCACGUGUGGAAUUUUGUAUGUACCAUAUGAAUAAGGAUCGGCUAACUCCGUGCCAGCAGCCGCGGUAAUACGGAGGAUCCGAGCGUUAUCCGGAUUUAUUGGGUUUAAAGGGAGCGUAGGUGGAUUGUUAAGUCAGUUGUGAAAGUUUGCGGCUCAACCGUAAAAUUGCAGUUGAAACUGGCAGUCUUGAGUACAGUAGAGGUGGGCGGAAUUCGUGGUGUAGCGGUGAAAUGCUUAGAUAUCACGAAGAACUCCGAUUGCGAAGGCAGCUCACUAGACUGUCACUGACACUGAUGCUCGAAAGUGUGGGUAUCAAACAGGAUUAGAUACCCUGGUAGUCCACACAGUAAACGAUGAAUACUCGCUGUUUGCGAUAUACAGUAAGCGGCCAAGCGAAAGCAUUAAGUAUUCCACUUGGGGAGUACGCCGGCAACGGUGAAACUCAAAGGAAUUGACGGGGGCCCGCACAAGCGGAGGAACAUGUGGUUUAAUUAGAUGAUACGCGAGGAACCUCACCCGGGCUUAAAUUGCAACAGAAUAUAUUGGUAACAGUAUAGCCGUAAGGCUGUUGUGAAGGUGCUGCAUGGUUGUCGUCAGCUCGUGCCGUGAGGUGUCGGCUUAAGUGCCAUAACGAGCGCAACCCUUAUCUUUAGUUACUAACAGGUCAUGCUGAGGACUCUAGAGAGACUGCCGUCGUAAGAUGUGAGGAAGGUGGGGAUGACGUCAAAUCAGCACGGCCCUUACGUCCGGGGCUACACACGUGUUACAAUGGGGGGUACAGAAGGCGGCUACCUGGUGACAGGAUGCUAAUCCCAAAAACCUCUCUCAGUUCGGAUCGAAGUCUGCAACCCGACUUCGUGAAGCUGGAUUCGCUAGUAAUCGCGCAUCAGCCAUGGCGCGGUGAAUACGUUCCCGGGCCUUGUACACACCGCCCGUCAAGCCAUGAAAGCCGGGGGUACCUGAAGUACGUAACCGCAAGGAGCGUCCUAGGGUAAAACUGGUAAUUGGGGCUA
rnacentral:rRNA from 1 species